rnacentral:sRNA from 12 species
AGCACCCUGCUUCCACCGAAGCCUUACGUUCCACGUGGGGGAUUGAUGUAGGUGGAGUGGGGUGCU